rnacentral:rRNA from 1 species
GGUCGGUAAAUACUCGUGCCAGCCUUCUCGGUUAUACGAGAGGCCCAAGUUGAUAUAAGCGGAGUAAAGAGUGGUUUGAAAUAAAAAAAUUAAAGCCAAAGACCUUCUAAGUUGUCGCACCCAUUCUGAAAACACGAAGCCCAAUAAGCGAAAGUAGCUUUAUCAUAAGUUGCCCCCACGAAAGCUAAGAAACAAACUGGGAUUAGAUACCCCACUAUGCUUAGCCCUAAACUCAGAUAUUUAUGUACAAAUUUAUCCGCCAGGGUACUACGAGCGCUAGCUCAAAACCCAAGGGACUUGGCGGUGUCUUAGACCCGCCUACAGGAGCCUGAUCUAGAACCGAAAAUCCCCGU